GUAAAUAUAUGUAUAUAUAUUCAUAUAUAAUAGGAAAACAGGAUAGCCCCCCCCAAAGCCACGCCGCUGGGGGUGAAGCUCCAGCAGCCGUCCCCUGAUCGGGUUUAUUUUCGGCGUGGGAGAAGAAGCGAGGAGGGGAGGGGGGGGACAGGGAUGCACCACGCGGGACACAGCGCUGCGCUGCGGGCUGACUCACUGGGGGAACUUUGGACAUCAACUCCUGCGCUUUGCUUUGCUUUGCUUCUCUUCUCUUUUCCUUUCAACUUUUUCUUUCUUUCUUUCUGCCCGGAUUUUGUGAUUAGGAGCUAAAUAAGCAGAGAGAAAGCCCAAAAUAAAAUAAAAUACCGAAAAAAAAAACCCCAAACCAAACCGAACAGACCUCUAUACCCCGCCGGAGGGCAGACGGUAAAAACAACGCGUUUUCGCCGAGCGGAGCUGCGCGCAUUUCUCUUUUAUUUUUUGGAGCGAAGAGAGAAAAAAAAAAAAAAGAGAGAGAGAGAGAGAGAGAAAAAAGCCUCUACAGUCGGUUAGUUGCUUUUUUUUUUUUUUUUUUCACGGCCCCAUGGCUGUGAAUAGGUGCCUUCAGCUAAUUUUAUGAAAAGGGGCUCUUUCCAAGGCUAAGGUAGAGUAGGGCUUCCUGUAAGAGAGAGAGAGAGAGAGAGAGAGAGGGAGGGGGAAAAGAAGUGUUGCUCUUGAUGCAAUCUUUUCCUCCUCCUUCUUCUCCUCCUCCUCCUCCUCCUCCUCCUCCUCCUCCUCCUUCUCCUUGCGAGCCCUCUGCCUCUCCCUGCCAGCCCCGACAGAUCUCCGCACCGCGGGGGGAGAAGGCCAGGGUUACAAGGCAACUCUUCCCCCUCUCUGCAGACCUUUGAGAGGGGAAUGAGCUCUUCUGCACAUCCAGAUGUCUGCUGUUGUUUGUCCGGUCUCUUCCCACUGGGGGGCACAGGACUCCAUUCUCCAGCAGAUCUGUUCCAGGCAUCUCUUUAUGUCAAGGCAAAGGUUCAGUGAAACAUCAUGACUUACAUCAGCCAAAGCCUUUGAUCAGGGAGGGAAAGGUCUGACAUGGAUGGGGUUGGCAGCCACGCUGCAAGAAUCCCUCAUUGUGCAAGAAGCCAGUCCAAUGACCGACUGUCACCAAGGGCUGAUGCUUUGGACCCAGAAAGACACAAGUGGGAUGGAGAUCAGAGCCCUGGGCUUUUCCCCGCAGACCAGCAACUGGUGCCAUUUCUGGCUGAUUCUCUACUUUUCUCUUCCUAGUGAGGGUCUUUUGUUAUUUAUCAGCUCCUUUCAAAGCAACAGCCUGAGAGAUUUCACAAUACUUUUCACAUAUGGUUACUCAGCCUGGGGCUCUCCACAGCUUAGCUGUUUCAGUGAUAUUUGCACAGCACUGAGCAACAGCAUUCCUGACCUGCAGGAGAAGUGAGUGCCUCAAACCUCCUUUUCUCCAUAUACACAAGAUCUUUUUUUGCUCUUAAAAAACCCCAGACCCCUCUCCCCAUCCCUGCCAGUUGCACGGCAGACUGGAUGUCCCUGGCAGCACACUUGGGCUUGCAUCCAUUUUUCUUCUUUGUGUGUGUGUGCGUUGUCAUCCAAUGCAUGGCCAGAACCAAAGGAAAACUCAUGUGUGUGUUGUCAUCCAAUGCAUGGCCAGAACCAAAGGCAAACUCCAUUUGGGAGGUGAGCAAGGAAAACCCCUCCAAAACAGCCAGGAGCUGAAAAGAUUUGGCAAGCUUUGCAGGAGAAAACUGCCAGCAGGGAAAGACGAGGUGGAGGCAUUACUCUGACAGAAGAAGCUCUGAUUAGCAGAUUAUCACUUAAGUGAUGUUGAUCCCAGCCACGCUGCCUUCCAAAUGAGCCCUUUCACAGCUGCCAGCUGCACCACGGAGUCGUGAAUGUAAAUGAGUGGGCCAGAUCCUCUGCUGGCAUCCAUCGACGUGGCUUUGAUGGACCAUCCUGGAUCUACAACAGCCGGAGGAGUGUGGCUGUCGUGGGAGCCUGACUUGCUAUGCAGAUUUCUUUGAGAGCCUGUGGGAAAGGGCCUGAAGCUGGAUGUACUGCAGGAUAGGGCAGCAUCAACUGCACAGCUGGAGGGACCCUUGAGACUUUGACUUUUGCUGCCAAACAAAGCCAUCUUUUUGCUGAGCUUGUAAACUGUUCCCUGGUACCGUACGCCAGCAUAUAGCAUCCUGCCCUCAUAAAGCUCUACUUAUCUCCAUCCAACUUCUUGGGCUGAGCGUGUGGGAAGCAUGUGAGGGACACUCAUGAGCAGCCUUGCAUUCUCCGAGCUGUGCUUUCCCCUGGGGAAGGCAUACUUGACCUCUGGCCACGUCCAUCCAAUCUGACAGACUGGUCUUCGGAGAAUGGUGACCAAGAAUAAGCUCCAUGUCCCACAUGCCACCUGUUCAUCUGCACCGCUCCCUCUCCAGCAGCUCAUGGGCCAUGCCCAGCCUAUGUGUGACACCUCUCUGGCUGCUCAGAUGGAAAGUAAGAGCUUGGAGAGUGAGGACAGCAUGGAGUUAUGGAAGACAUGGCUACAAGAGCAUUCUUUCUCCAUCUCCAUGUGCUUCUGAAGGACCAGUCUGAUUCUGGCUCCUGCCAAGUUAGGAUAUGCUAUGAUUCUGUGAACACUUUUUGCAGCAAGUCAGCCAUAAGAAACAACAUACUCUCAGACAAUCAAGCCUCCAAAUUAAGGUGGGGAGACUUGUUGUGAAGGAGAUGGUUUUUUUUUUCCUACUGUAGAAGGGAUGUUCAAUGCUAUAGUGACAAGGAACAAUUCUUCAGCCUUAGACAGCAGAAAGAAGAAACAUAAAGAGACUGUACAGUUCUUGGGACACCGAGACAACUAUCUACGUGCUUUGUGGAAGCAGAGACAAGUAUGAGAUUUGGCUUUCUGGGCUAUGAGGGCACACAGCUGGCUCACAUCCAGCUCCCAUCCACCAUUUAGAUAAGAUACUAUUGCUUUUAAUAAAGACAAGUCAAAGAUCUUCUCCUAAGUGCUCUUAAAGAACUCCAGCAUUGUGUCUACAAUAAUCCAUCCGCCUUAAAGGAUCCAGCAGUACAUCACCACCAGUGGAUAUAAGAAGUAAUUAGUCAUCAUUUAGGGAAGUAAGAUUUAACAGUUAUUUUGUUGGCAGAAGUGCCGUGAUAAAAAUGGUACUCUGAAAGUUAUUUGGUAUUUCUCAUUGUUGCCAGAGUUCUGAACAUUUUGAUAGGAUGAACAUAGACUUCGGUAGGAAAGUUGUGGAUUUUUUCCCCUCCAUUUAGUAGAAAUAUAAAUGUUACAAAAUAAAUAAUGAUAGAAUAUAUGUGUAUAUAUUUUCAAUGCAUAUUUUAAAAUGCAUAUGAAAUGCAUUUUUUAAAAUAUUUUGUUCAAAUAUUUUUACUAAUGUUGUAUACCUUGCAUCUGUGAAGAGGGUUAUCCCUUAAACAUCCUUUCUUCAGACAGUACUGGGAUUCAUCCUCAGGCCCCGUUAUCUUGCUCUACGUUUCCUAGAGUCCAUCUAUAUAAUAAAUCAGAAUACUGCAUGGUUACACAUCGUAAUUAUUUUUUAAAAUUAUUUUUUAUUUUUUUGCUGAUUGGGGAAAUGGUGAAAACUGGUUUUUGCAUAUUUCAACAAUGUUACUCAGCCAAGUAAAAGAACAAGGGAGCAGAAUGGAAGAGAAAUGAAGAAAUGGAAGGAAGG
ensembl:lncRNA